UGUUUUAGUGAGUACCAUGCAAACCUUUGUAUCAAUUCCAAACUGGGAUACAACUAAUGUCCAAGGAAGAAUAAACACAACAACAACAGUCAGUUCAACGCUUGAUUGUUCUAGAUGUUGUCAUCAAAAUAAAACAUGCGACGGUUUUUUCUAUGACAAAACUAGUGGACAUUGUGCGACCUUUAACAUUGAGGAUGGCCUCAUAAUAUAUGAAAACACACUAGGAAACUUCUUUUAUAGGAAGAAAGAUUGCCUUGAUUCUAGUUAUGCAUACAUAUGGCAGUUGGACAUUUGUAUCACAUUUUACGCCACCAAAUUAUCAUGGAAUGCAUCACAGCAAAGAUGCGCUGAUGACAGCGGAAAUCUGCUAGGUAUACAAAAUGGAAGAAUAGAAUAUUUCUUUUUACCAUAUUUGUUGGCAAAAUCUGAAAUAACGGGAAUACUCGGGUGGUGGAUAGGUGGAACGGAUGUAUACCAAGAGGGAAUUUUCCGAUGGAUGGACGGAGAACGUGUUACAUACACCAACUGGGGUUAUAAUCAACCAGAUAAUAUGACGGACACCGUAAUACCAGGCGGAGACUGCAUGAGAUAUGGCAUUUACCCUAAAGCAAAAUGGUUUGAUAUUGAUUGUAGCAAAACAUUUGCCUUCAUAUGCGAAAACAAAAUGUUUUU